rnacentral:rRNA from 1 species
GACGUAGGGCGCGAGCGUUGUCCGGAUUUAUUGGGCGUAAAGAGCUCGUAGGCGGCUUGUCGCGUCGACUGUGAAAUCCCGCGGCUCAACCGCGGGUCUGCAGUCGAUACGGGCAGGCUAGAGUUCGGUAGGGGAGACUGGAAUUCCUGGUGUAGCGGUGGAAUGCGCAGAUAUCAGGAGGAACACCGAUGGCGAAGGCAGAUCUCUGGGCCGUAACUGACGCUGAGGAGCGAAAGCAUGGGGAGCGAACAGG